rnacentral:tRNA from 1 species
GCCCCGGUGGUGCAAUGGUUAAACACUUGGCUGCUAACUGAAAGGUUGGUGGUUCAAAUCCACCCAGCGGCU